AAUUUGUGACUCUGGGGGCAACCCGGAUCCAGCCAUCACGCCUGUGCGAUGAAGGCCUUCGGGUUGUAAUGCACUGUUGUCAGGGGAGAAAAGGCGCUGGUUAAUACCUGGCGCCCCUUACGGUACCUGCCGAAUAAGCACCGGCUAACUACGUGCCAUCUUCCGAGGUAAUACGUAGGGUGCAAGAGUUAAUAGGAAUUACUGGGCGUAAAGCGUGCGCAGGCGGUUCGGAAAGAAGGAUGAGAAAUCCCGGGGCUUAACCACGGGACUGCAUUAUUACCUGCCGGGCGAGAGUAUGUCAGAGGGGGGUAGAAUUCCACGUGUAGCAGUGAAAUGCGUAGAGGUGUGGAGGAAUACCGAUGGCGAAGGCAGCCCCCUGGGAUAAUACUGACGCUCAUGCACGAAAGCGUAGGGAGCAAAC
rnacentral:rRNA from 1 species